GAAUCACUAGGCUCUGCCCCGAUUCCUCCUCCGUGAACCUCAGCCUGGAAACUCUCUCAAGAAGAUUGCAAAUUCCAGAAUGGCAGGGACCAUGGCUGCUUGUCCGCCCUGAAUCACCAGGCGCAGUGCAGUGACUACAUAUAAAGAUCCCCUGUUGUCAGCAGCAAGGUGGAUAACAGAAAACACCAAUAUCACAGAGGACAGGGAAAGGAGGAUGAGAAUCAGCUUGCAGAUUGCUGACCCCUCUGCUGACCACCCAAAGGCAGAGCUAAA